CUUACUGACAAGAGACUUCCUUCAGACAGGAGGAAGGCAAAAUAUCAACUGCCACUCCUCUUGAUAUCACUCUGGUGGCUCCAGCCAGGACAACUUGGCAUGCAAAGACAAAACAUCCAGAUCUGAAAGUGCAGCUAAAAUUCUACCUGGUUGCAGAUGACAUCAUCAUCCACAUGGAAAAUCACAGAAUGCAAAGAUGAAAUUAAGCAUUCCACUUAGAAGAAUACCACGAAGAAUGACAGAGUAAAGGCAAGGUAGUUCAAGACAUUGCUGUAUGGAAUCAGAGGGCUAAAAUGAAGGAGACAUCUGUGGUCUGGG
rnacentral:lncRNA from 1 species